CCCUUAGAUGUUCUGGGCCGCACGCGCGCUACACUGAUGAAUUCAACGAGCACUAACCUGUGCCGAAAGGUUCGGGUAAUCUUGUGAAAUUUCAUCGUGAUGGGGAUUGAUUAUUGCAAUUUUUAAUCAUAACCGAGGAAUGCCUAGUAAGCGUGAGUCAUCAGCUCACGUUGAUUACGUCCCUGCCCUUUGUACACACCGCCCGUCGCUCCUACCGAUUGAAUGUGCCAGUGAAAAGUUCGGAUUGGAGAUAGGAGACGGCAACGUAUCCUAUUUCCGAGAAAAUCUUUAAACUUUCCCAUUUAGAGGAAGGAGAAGUCGUAACA
rnacentral:rRNA from 1 species